rnacentral:tRNA from 1 species
AGUUAAAAAGCUUUUUAUAAAGUAUAUGUUUUGAAAACAUAAGAAAGAAGUUAAAUUCUUCUAUUAACUU